rnacentral:lncRNA from 1 species
UCCUUGUCUAGGAAAUUUGUUACAUUGUCUAGGCUGUUCAAUGUCUAAGCAUCUCUAAAUGUAGUGGCACAUACAUAGCAUACACAUCACAUAAGUGUUUCGUGGCAGGGAGGCCAUGUUGCAGGGUUGGUCAUGCCCCUCUGCUGCCCUUUGCCUGCCCCCAGCACCAUGUCCAUCAUCCUGGGCACCUGGAUGGAGCAGUCCUGGCAUGACUUCUGGGAACCUCCUGACUUUCCCAGCCUCCAGCUGGUGCUGGCUUAUGUGCAGCUGAGCAUGCCUGGCUCGGACCUGGAGCACCACGCCCACUUCCUCCUGGCCCAGCUGCAGGACAUGGAGCCCAACAAGGCUGAGCCUGAGGCUCUGUCACCACCUCCAGCACCAGGUGCCGCAGUGACUGCGGAGGAAGAGCCAGCUCCAGCAUCGGCCUGUGAGCAAGGGUCCCCUUC